CCUACGGGUGGCAGCAGUAGGGAAUCUUCCUCAAUGGGGGAAACCCUGAAGCAGCAACGCCGCGUGGAUGAUGAAGGUUUUCGGAUUGUAAACUCCUGUUGUUAGAGAAGAUAAUGACGGUAUCUAACGAAUCAGCACUCGCUAACUACGUGCCAGCAGCCGCGGUAAUACUGAGUGUGCAAGCGUUACUCGGAAUCACUGUGCGUAAAGAGCUCGGAGGCGGGCUAGCAAGUCAGAUGUGAAAUCCUAUGGCUUAACCAUAGAACUGCAUUUGAAACUGUUAGUCUAGAGUAUGGGAGAGGUAGGUGGAAUUCUUGGUGUAGGGGUAAAAUGCGUAGAGAUAAAGAGGAAUACUCAUUGCGAAGGCGACCUGCUAGAACAUAACUGACGCUGAUGCGCGAAAGCGUGGGGAGCAAACAGGAUUAGAUACCCCAGUAGUC
rnacentral:rRNA from 1 species